UGACCUGCCUGUCCUGCCCUGCCUGCCUGGGGACACAGCACUCUACCAGAGGCAGGCAAGGCCACUUAGGGGAUCUCUCUGGACUUCCAUGGCAGAGUGCCAAGUCCUGCUGCCCACACAGCUUGCUGAAGGAGCCUCCUCGAUGUGCCUGCCCAGGAGAAGCAAUGUGCAAGUGUGGGAGCAGCUGCAUCAAAUAUUUCAGCAGAAAAACGUGAGAUUCCCUGGCUUGCCAGAGCCCAGCCUGGAGGGCAGUUUCACAGCCAAACUAUAAACCUUGCAACCAGGGGUUUCUAAUGGAAACAUUGACAUAACCUAUAGCUGACAGAGCAACAGCUCUGCUCACGUUAAACCUGUAUUUUCAUCCCUAAUCCCUGCAGCUCCUGGCCUGUCUCAGAAACGGACCCUUGCAGCUGUCUGAGCAUCCCCAGGGAUCCAGUGGACGGCUGGGCUGGCGGGGGGUCACAGGGAUUUGGCUGCUCCCCAUUGUGCCAGCCCCAAUCUGCCACACUGCAGGCAAGGGGCUGAUGGCUGGGGAGCCCCUCUGCUGAAGCACAACAGUCUCUGCCACCAAAAAGGCAAAAGAAAACGGCAGAGUGGUUCAGUUGGUUGUAAAAAUUAAUGAGUUCAGAUACAGACUUGCUUUAUUCCGGUCCAGCUGCGUAACCACGGCGAUUGUGUCCGGCACACUAGACAGUUACAUCAGCUCCACACCCCUGUACAAUAAGACUCUGUUUGAUCUCAGAAACAAGAUCAGACUCCUGGGCUUUGCACAUCCUGCUUCCUACAUAUGUAAAAUCAUUUUAUUACCAGCCAGGAGAGUUCAUCUAAGCCGCUCUUGCUGUGCAGCUGAUGUGGAGAGAACAUGCCCCUGUCUGCACUUCUUUUACCAGAUGGAGAUCUACAGAGAGAUUGAAGAGCUGCUACUCCUCCAAGUUGAUGCUGCACAUGGGAAGAGGAGUUUCAAAGAUGAACAGCUGGAAGGCUGAAACAGCUGAGCAUGGUUGAUUUUGGUAUCAGUCAUGUGUUGCUCUCACCCCCAAGCAGUUCACCCUCCCUGUGCCUCUGGAGCAAAUUUAACUUCAGCAAGUCCCAUUGGGAGGAGAUUUAGAUAUUUUCCAUUAGAUAAAUAUUCACAGAUGUGCAAUAAUAAACACAAUUAAAUAGCACUAGUGGAUGGAGUU
rnacentral:lncRNA from 1 species